rnacentral:rRNA from 1 species
AUACGGAGGGUGCAAGCGUUAUCCGGAUUCAUUGGGUUUAAAGGGUGCGCAGGCGGAAUGAUAAGUCAGUGGUGAAAUCCUACAGCUUAGCUGUAGAACUGCCAUUGAUACUGUCAUUCUUGAGUACACUUGAAGUGGGCGGAAUGUAUCAUGUAACGGUGAAAUGCAUAGAUAUGAUACAGAACUCCGAUAGCGAAGGCAGCUCACUAAAUUGUAACUGACGCUCAGGCACGAAAGCGUGGGGAGCAAACAGGAUUAGAAACCCUAGUAGUCC